GCCUUUGUAGUGCAAUCACUAGCACGUGCGGCUGUCAAUCAGAUGAUCUGGGAUUCGAAUCCCGGCAAAGGCA
rnacentral:tRNA from 1 species